GAUGAACGCUGGCGGCGUGCCUAAUACAUGCAAGUCGAGCGAACAGACGAGGAGCUUGCUCCUUCGACGUUAGCGGCGGACGGGUGAGUAACACGUAGGUAACCUACCUAUAAGACUGGGAUAACUUCGGGAAACCGGAGCUAAUACCGGAUAAUAUUUCGAACCGCAUGGUUCGAUAGUGAAAGAUGGCUUUGCUAUCACUUAUAGAUGGACCUGCGCCGUAUUAGCUAGUUGGUAAGGUAACGGCUUACCAAGGCAACGAUACGUAGCCGACCUGAGAGGGUGAUCGGCCACACGGGAGCUGAGACACGGUCCAGACUCCUACGGGAGGCAGCAGUAGGGAAUCUGCCGCAAAGGGCGAAAGCCUGACGGAGCAACGCCGCGUGAGUGAUGAAGGUCUUCGGAUCGUAAAACUCUGUUAUUAGGGAAGAACAAACGUGUAAGUAACUGUGCACGUCUUGACGGUACCUAAUCAGAAAGCCACGGCUAACUACGUG
rnacentral:rRNA from 1 species